AUUGAACGCUGGCGGCAUGCUUUACACAUGCAAGUCGAACGGUAACAGGCCUUCGGGCGCUGACGAGUGGCGAACGGGUGAGUAACGCAUCGGAACGUGCCCAGUCGUGGGGGAUAACGCAGCGAAAGCUGUGCUAAUACCGCAUACGAUCUGCGGAUGAAAGCGGGGGACCUUAGGGCCUCGCGCGAUUGGAGCGGCCGAUGUCAGAUUAGGUAGUUGGUGGGGUAAAGGCCCACCAAGCCAACGAUCUGUAGCUGGUCUGAGAGGACGACCAGCCACACUGGGACUGAGACACGGCUCAGACUCCUACGGGAGGCAGCAGUGGGGAAUUUUGGACAAUGGGCGCAAGCCUGAUCCAGCAAUGCCGCGUGCAGGAAGAAGGCCUU
rnacentral:rRNA from 1 species